rnacentral:rRNA from 1 species
CAGUCGCCGCGGGAAUACGAAGGGGGCUAGCGUUGCUCGGAAUCACUGGGCGUAAAGGGUGCGUAGGCGGGUUUUUAAGUCAGAGGUGAAAUCCUGGAGCUCAACUCCAGAACUGCCUUUGAUACUGAAAGUCUUGAGUAUGGGAGAGGUGAGUGGAACUGCGAGUGUAGAGGUGAAAUUCGUAGAUAUUCGCAAGAACACCAGUGGCGAAGGCGGCUCACUGGCCCAUAACUGACGCUGAGGCACGAAAGCGUGGGGAGCAAACAGGAUUAGAUACCCCUGUAGUCCCUGUCUCUUAUAC